rnacentral:rRNA from 1 species
GACGAACGCUGGCGGCGUGCUUAACACAUGCAAGUCGAGCGGUAAGGCCCUUCGGGUACGACGAGCGGCGAACGGGUGAGUAACACGUGGGUGACCUGCCUCUAGCUCUGGGAUAAGCCUGGGAAACUGGGUCUAAUACCGGAUAUGACUCCACGGCGCAUGUUGUGGGGUGGAAAGCCUUGUGUGGCUAGAGAUGGGCCCGCGGCCUAUCAGCUUGUUGGUGGGGUGAUGGCCACCAAGGCGACGACGGUAGCCGGCCUGAGAGGGCGACCGGCCACACUGGGACUGAGACACGGCCCAGACUCCUACGGGAGGCAGCAGUGGGGAAUCUUGCGCAAUGGGCGAAAGCCUGACGCAGCGACGCCGCGUGAGGGAUGACGGCCUCG